UAGGUAGGUGGUCUUAUUUGUCUGGGGUGAAAUCCCUGAGCUUAACUCAGGAACCGCCCUAGAAACGGUGAGACUGGAGUACUGGAGAGGGUCGUGGAAUUCCCGGUGUAGCGGUGAAAUGCGUAGAGAUCGGGAGGAACACCAGAGGCGAAGGCGGCGACCUGGACAGUGACUGACACUCAACUACGAAAGCGUGGGGAGCAAACAGGAUUAGAUACCCUGGUAGUCCACGCUGUAAACGAUGGAUACUAGGUUUGGUGGGACUUGACCCCUGCCGAACCGGCGCUAACGCAAUAAGUAUCCCGCCUGGGAAGUACGGUCGCAAGACUAAA
rnacentral:rRNA from 1 species